UUAUAGCCCAGAUUGAAGUGGAAAUCCUUUUUAUUGCGAAAGCGAAUAAAAAGAUUGCAACGGAAAGCUGGAAAGAGC
rnacentral:sRNA from 1 species